GACGAACGCUGGCGGCGUGCUUAACACAUGCAAGUCGAACGGAAAGGCCCUGCUUUUGUGGGGUGCUCGAGUGGCGAACGGGUGAGUAACACGUGAGUAACCUGCCCUUGACUUUGGGAUAACUUCAGGAAACUGGGGCUAAUACCGUAUAGGAGCUCCUGCUGCAUGGUGGGGGUUGGAAAGUUUCGGCGGUUGGGGAUGGACGCGCGGCUUAUCAGCUUGUUGGUGGGGUAGUGGCUUACCAAGGCUUUGACGGGUAGCCGGCCUGAGAGGGUGAACGGCCACAUUGGGACUGAGAUAGGGACCAGACUGCUACGGGAGGCAGCAGUGGGGAGUAUUGCACAAUGGGCGGAAGCCUGAUGCAGCAACGCCGCGUGCGGGAUGACGGCCUUCGGGUUGUAAACCGCUUUCGCCUGUGACGAAGCGUGAGUGACGGUAAUGGGUAAAGAAGCACCGGCUAACUACGUG
rnacentral:rRNA from 1 species